rnacentral:lncRNA from 1 species
UCUGCAAGCAGAUGUUUUCUUCUAGCCAUGUGUGAAUUGGAGGUUCCUUGGGCUGUCCACGCCUGGUCAUCGGCUGGCAGGAGGCUCUCCAGGCACACGCAGCACACACAGCACAUGCACCACACGUAGCACACACACUGCAUGCAGCACACACACACGACACAGUGGACGCACCACACAGAGCACACGCGGCACGCACAGCACACACCACACAGCGCACGCACCACACAGAGCACACACGGCACACAGCGCAUGCACCACGCAGAGCACACACGGCACAUGCAGCACACACACCAAACACAGCGCACGCACCGCACAGAGCACAUGCAGCACACACGGCACAUGGCAGCACACACACCAAACACAGCGCACACACCGCACAGAGCACACGCAGCACACACACCAAACAGUGCACACACUGCACAGAGCACACACGGCACACGCAGCACACACACCAAACACAGCGCACGCACCGCACAGCACACGUGGCACACACAGCACACACACCAAACAGCGCACACACCACACAGAGCACACGCAGCACACACACCACACAGAGCACUUGGAGCACCCGCAGCACACACACCACGCAGAGCACACGCGGCACACACACCACACAUAGCGCAUGCACAACACAGAGCACACACAGCACAUGCACCACAUGUAGCGCACACUGCAUGCAGCACACACACCACACACAGCGCGUGCACCACACAGAGCACCUGCGGCACACACAGC